rnacentral:rRNA from 1 species
UACGGGGGGAGCAAGCGUUGUUCGGAUUUACUGGGCGUAAAGGGCGCGUAGGCGGCCACCGCAAGUCGGUUGUGAAAUCUCUGGGCUUAACCCAGAAAGGUCAACCGAUACUGCGGGGCUAGAGUGCAGAAGGGGCAACUGGAAUUCUACGGUGUAGCGGUGAAAUGCGUAGAUAUCAUGAGGAAGACCAGUGGCGAAGGCGGGUCUCUGGACAGUUCCUGACACUGACGCUGAUGCGCGAAAGCCAAGGGGCAGGCGAACGGGA